rnacentral:pre_miRNA from 12 species
UAGCCCUUGCUGGAGAAGCAGGGCACGUGCAAAGAAGGUCUUCAUUGAUAUAUAUUUGCAUGUGCUCCUCUUCUCCAACAUGUGUUC